GCUCCCGGGAGUGGCUCCGCCCCUCAGGUGGGGGCCCGGGAGCGCGCGCCCCUCACCUGGCGGCAGCCGGACCGCUGCCCCGAGAGCCCGGCGCCGGGUUCAAUUAAUUACCAGUGUCUCCCGAAAGGACUGAAGAGCCACAGCUGGUCCGCGCGCGCCCAAACUGCUCUCCUAUAGAAGUAACGGAGAGAGAGAGACAGAAGCAAAGGGAAUCAUUCUGCCUCACUUUCUGGGAAGGAAAACAAUAA